GACAGCUCAUGCUAGCACGCUCAUGCCGUCCCGAAGCACUGACUGUGGAAUGGUGCCUGUGGAACGUCCCUGGGUCUUCGGCCAGCGUCCUUCCCACCCUGCUGCUGGAUGGGCUCCCCUGACCUCCUUUUGCAGGCCUGGGCACACGGUGAACGGCACAGACAGCACAAUUGCAGCACAGAAAAUGAAAUGAAAUAUGAUACCAAUAAUAAUGAAGAGGAAGAGGGAGAACAGUUCGAUUUUGACAGUGGAGAUGAAAUCCCAGAAGCGGACAGACAGGCCCCAUCCGCCCCUGAGACAGGAGGUGCUGGAGCCAGUGAAGCCCCUGCACCCACAGGAGGUGAGGAUGGAGCUGGAGCAGAAACCACCCCAGUGGCAGAGCCUACUAAGCUGGUGCUCCCGAUGAAAGUCAACCCAUAUUCUGUCAUCGACAUCACGCCAUUCCAGGAGGACCAGCCGCCCACCCCCGUGCCCAGCGCUGAGGAGGAGAAUGUGGGUCUCCAUGUGCCCUGCGGGUACUUGGUGCCUGUACC
rnacentral:misc_RNA from 1 species